rnacentral:rRNA from 1 species
GAUGAACGCUGGCGGCGUGCCUAAUACAUGCAAGUCGAGCGAAGCGGGGACGGGUGAGUAACACGUGGAUAACCUCCUAUAAGACUGGGAUAACUUCGGGAAACCGGAGCUAAACCGGAUGCUUAUAGAUGGAUCCGCGUUGUAUUAGUUAGUUGGUGAGGUAACGGCUUACCAAGGCAACGAUGCAUAGCCGACCUGAGAGGGUGAUCGGCCACACUGGAACUGGGAAACGGUCCCGACUCCCACGGGAGGCAGCAGGAGGGAAUUUUUCGCAAUGGGAGAAAGGCCGAACGAGCCACGACGCGGGAGUGAAGAAGGUCUUCGGGUUGUAAAACUCUGUUAUUAGGGAAGCGGUACCUAAUCAAAAAGCCACGGCUAACUACGUGCCAGCAGCCGCGGUAAUAC